rnacentral:rRNA from 1 species
UGAUCACUCGCGUGCUACACAUGCAGUCGACGAUGAACCUGGAGCUUGCUCUAGGGGAUUAGUGGCGAACGGGUGAGUAACACGUGAGUAACCUGCCCUUGACUCUGGGAUAACCUCCGGAAACGGAAGCUAAUACCGGAUAUGACGCACGGAGGCAUCUCCUGUGCGUGGAAAGAACUUCGGUCAAGGAUGGACUCCCAGUUUCUCAGGUAGUUGCUAACGUAAAAGCGCUCAUCAAGUCUAGGACCGGUAUAGGCUCUGGAGACGCUGAGUACCCACGCUGGUACUGAGACUCGAGCCAGACUCCCUAGGGGAGGCAGCAGUGGGGAUCAUUGCACAAUUGGGCGCAAGCGUGAUGCAGCAACGCCGCGUGAGGGAUGACGUUCUUCGGUUGCUAAACAUCUUUUAGUAGGGAAGAAGCGAAAGUGACGGUACCUGCAGAAAAAGCACCGGCUGACUACGUGCCAGCAGCCGCGGUAAUACGUAGGGUGCGAGCGUUGUCCGGAAUUAUUGGGCGUAAAGAGCUCGUAGGCGGUCUGUCGCGUCUGCUGUGAAAACCCGAGGCUCAACCUCGGGCCUGCAGUGGGUACGGGCAGACUAGAGUGCGGUAGGGGAGAAUGGAAUUCCUGGUGUAGCGGUGGAAUGCGCAGAUAUCAGGAGGAACACCGAUGGCGAAGGCAGUUCUCUGGGCCGUAACUGACGCUGAGGAGCGAAAGCGUGGGGAGCGAACAGGAUUAGAUACCCUGGUAGUCCACGCCGUAAACGUUGGGCGCUAGAUGUGGGGACCAUUCCACGGUUUCCGUGUCGCAGCUAACGCAUUAAGCGCCCCGCCUGGGGAGUACGGCCGCAAGGCUAAACCUCAAAGGAAUUGACGGGGGCCCGCACAAGCGGCGGAGCAUGCGGAUUAAUUCGAUGCAACGCGAAGAACCUUACCAAGGCUUGACAUACACGAGAACGCCCUAGAAAUAGGGAACUCUUUGGACACUCGUGAACAGGUGGUGCAUGUUAGUCGUCAGCUCGUGUCGUGAGAUGUUGGGUUAAGUCCUGCACCGAGCGCAACCCUCGUUCUAUGUUGCCAGCGCGUACUGACGGCACCUCAUAGGAGACCUGCUGGGGUCAACUCGAAGGAAGGUGGGUAUGACGUCAAUUCAUCAUGCCCCUUAUGUCUUGGGCUUCACGCAUGCUACACUGAACGCUACAAAGCGCUGCAAUUACGUAAGUUGGAGCUACUCCGCUAACGCAGCUCUCAAUUUCGGAAUUGGAAGUCUGCAACGACCUCAUGAAGUCGGAGUCGCUAGUAAUCGCAGAUCAGCAACGCUGCGGUGAAUACGUUCCCGGGCCUUGUACACACCGCCCGUCAAGUCAUGAAAGUCGGUAACACCCGAAGCCGGUGGCCCAACCCUUGUGGAGGGAGCCGUCGAAGGUGGGAUCGGUGAUUAGGACUAAGUCGUAGCAAUGAGCUUAGUAUCCC